AUUGAACGCUGGCGGCAGGCCUAACACAUGCAAGUCGAGCGGUAGAGAGGUGCUUGCACCUCUUGAGAGCGGCGGACGGGUGAGUAAUGCCUAGGAAUCUGCCUGGUAGUGGGGGAUAACGCUCGGAAACGGACGCUAAUACCGCACACGUCCUACGGGAGAAAGCAGGGGACCUUCGGGCCUUGCGCUAUCAGAUGAGCAUAGGUCGGAUUAGCUAGUUGGUGAGGUAAUGGCUCACCAAGGCGACGAUCCGUAACUGGUCUGAGAGGAUGAUCAGUCACACUGGAACUGAGACACGGUCCAGACUCCUACGGGAGGCAGCAGUGGGGAAUAUUGGACAAUGGGCGAAAGCCUGAUCCAGCCAUGCCGCGUGUGUGAAGAAGGUCUUCGGAUUGUAAAGCACUUUAAGUUGGGAGGAAGGGUCGUUACCUAAUACGUGACGAUUUUGACGUUACCGACAGAAUAAGCACCGGCUAACUCUGUGCCAGCCGCCGCAGUAACAC
rnacentral:rRNA from 1 species